AUUGAACGCUGGCGGCAUGCUUUACACAUGCAAGUCGGACGGCAGCACAGAGAAGCUUGCUUCUUGGGUGGCGAGUGGCGAACGGGUGAGUAAUAUAUCGGAACGUACCGAGUAAUGGGGGAUAACUAAUCGAAAGAUUAGCUAAUACCGCAUAUUCUCUGAGGAGGAAAGCAGGGGACCUUCGGGCCUUGCGUUAUUCGAGCGGCCGAUAUCUGAUUAGCUAGUUGGUGGGGUAAAGGCCUACCAAGGCGACGAUCAGUAGCGGGUCUGAGAGGAUGAUCCGCCACACUGGGACUGAGACACGGCCCAGACUCCUACGGGAGGCAGCAGUGGGGAAUUUUGGACAAUGGGCGCAAGCCUGAUCCAGCCAUGCCGCGUGUCUGAAGAAGGCCUUCGGGUUGUAAAGGACUUUUGUCAGGGAAGAAAAGGUUGUU
rnacentral:rRNA from 1 species